GAGUUUGAUCCUGGCUCAGGACCAACGCUGGUGGCGUGCUUAACACAUGCAAGUCGAACGGUAAGGCCCCAGCUUGCUGGGGUACACGAGUGGCGAACGGGUGAGUAACACGUGGGUGACCUGCCCCGCACUUCGGGAUAAGCCUGGGAAACUGGGUCUAAUACCGGAUAGGACCGCACCGUGAGGGUGUGGUGGAAAGUUUUUCGGUGUGGGAUGGGCCCGCGGCCUAUCAGCUUGUUGGUGGGGUAAUGGCCUACCAAGGCGGCGACGGGUAGCCGGCCUGAGAGGGUGGACGGCCACAUUGGGACUGAGACACGGCCCAGACUCCUACGGGAGGCAGCAGUGGGGAAUAUUGCACAAUGGGCGGAAGCCUGAUGCAGCGACGCCGCGUGGGGGAUGACGGCCUUCGGGUUGUAAACUCCUUUCACCAUCGACGAAGGUUUUCUGACGGUAGAUGGAGAAGAAGCACCGGCUAACUACGUGCCAGCAGCCGCGGUAAUACGUAGGGUGCGAGCGUUGUCCGGAAUUACUGGGCGUAAAGAGCUCGUAGGUGGUUUGUCGCGUCGUCUGUGAAAUUCCGGGGCUUAGCUCCGGGCGUGCAGGCGAUACGGGCAUAACUUGAGUACUGUAGGGGAGACUGGAAUUCCUGCUGUAGCGGUGACAUGCGCCGAUAUCAGGAGGAACACCGGGUGGCGAAGGCGGGUCUCUGGGCAGUAACUGACGCUGAGGAGCGAAAGCAUGGGUAGCGAACAGGAUUAGAUACCCUGGUAGUCCAUGCCGUAAACGGUGGGCGCUAGGUGUAGGGGUCUUCCACGACUUCUGUGCCGUAGCUAACGCAUUAAGCGCCCCGCCUGGGGAGUACGGCCGCAAGGCUAAAACUCAAAGGAAUUGACGGGGGCCCGCACAAGCGGCGGAGCAUGUGGAUUAAUUCGAUGCAACGCGAAGAACCUUACCUGGGCUUGACAUAUACGGGACCGGGCCAGAGAUGGUCCUUCCCUUGUGGCUCGUAUACAGGUGGUGCAUGGUUGUCGUCAGCUCGUGUCGUGAGAUGUUGGGUUAAGUCCCGCAACGAGCGCAACCCUUGUCUUAUGUUGCCAGCACGUAAUGGUGGGGACUCGUGAGAAACUGCCGGGGUCAACUCGGAGGAAGGUGGGGAUGACGUCAAAUCAUCAUGCCCCUUAUGUCCAGGGCUUCACACAUGCUACAAUGGUCGGUACAGUGGGUUGCGAUGCCGUGAGGUGGAGCUAAUCCCUGAAAGCCGGUCUCAGUUCGGAUCGGGGUCUGCAACUCGACCCCGUGAAGUCGGAGUCGCUAGUAAUCGCAGAUCAGCAACGCUGCGGUGAAUACGUUCCCGGGCCUUGUACACACCGCCCGUC
rnacentral:rRNA from 1 species